CAUCCCUGCAGGCACCAACGGUGUUUGUAAGAGCCUCUUGCUCUGGUGUAAGCAGUGGCUGAAAUACAGGGGGUUGCUGUGCUGUAUGUGGGGGGAUGAUGGGUGUUGAAUGCAAUGUUACGCUGUACUGGCACACAGACAGUAUCUUGCAGUUUCAUGCAGGCUGCUCUCCUGUCUAGUUCUGUGUUUCCUAGUGCAGAACACAGCCUCAUCUUUUAAGCAAGACUUGUCGCUUGAACUGCUGCUAGAGGCAUACCAGUUAAAAGAAAAAUAUUUAGCAUCUCCUCGUCUCUGCAUAUGCUUUUUGCCUUCUGGUCUUUCACAUCCGAGACAAGAAGCUCUCGCUGCAUAUUUUCUUUCCAUGUCGGCUAGAAAUAGGCUCAGCUGCUCUAAUUCCUGCACCGCUGACGGGGCAGCGUGUUGCUAUAGAGAUCUGCCAUCCUCUGAAGAGCAGAGUCAGACAGCUCUGCAGUCACAGCCUGCUGCUGAGGAGCUCACUGAAUGAACACAGACGCUGCCCUUCUUCAUCGUGGCUGGCUGGUUUGAAGCAGCACUUAGUCAGACAUGGAGUUACCAGGCUGGGUCGUAGCUGUAGUUGAAGAACUGUAGAUUUGGGGGUUUGGGGGGGUUUUGGUUGGGUUUUGGUUGGAUUUUGGUUGGGUUGUGGGGUUUUUUCCUUCUGGAGCACAGCUGGCUUUAUCCCUUUGCUUGUCUGUGCUUGCAUCUGUCAGAUGUCCUGGUGAGGCAUAUUGUGGAUUGGGAAUUGCUCAGUUCUAUCCCCUGCUUAACCAGUUACCAGCCUAUAACCCAAUAUAAGCUCCUUACAACUUUCACACAUUAACCCAGAUACGUUUGUGCCUGGUGGGCUCCCGAGAACACAGAACCUCACCCCCAUGGUGAAAACCCCUGCAACAUUCCUGCUGUAUUCUUAGGAGCUCACAUAGCCCUGAAAAUGAGCUCCCUCCCUGGUGAUACAGGUCCAUAACUGAGGGAUUAGGUGACUUGUGUUUCUGGUUGGCCUUUCCACAGGCAGAAACAUUGUGCAAUGCAGGUAACAACAGUGUUUUCAUUUGCUUCAGGUAUUGUCAUCUGUGAUCCCUGCACAGCUCCAGAGAGUGGCACAGAGGGUGCUUCACAGGCUCUUCCACACAAGAGCAGCACACAGCAAAUGUCUUCUGGCAGAAUGCUUUGUGCCCUGUUGCUGUGGCAUGUUUCGUCAGCACCGAAUGAUUGUGAGACUUUGUGCUUCUCUGAUGGGGGGGAAAAAAGUCCAAAGGACAUGCCAGUAAUGGAAGUGAGUUUAACUGGUGUAUUGCAAGGAGUGUGUAAGAGAAGGGAAGGCAUUGGGUGGAGAACACACUAUUAAUAUGCAAUCCACGCUGGCCUGAAAACUUGAAAGAGGUGUCUCCUUGUGUUUGAAAAGUCUCUGCUGUUACCUCUGAGUGUAGCUGACCUGUUAAUCAGGAUCCUGUGUAUUGAAUAGACUGUCCCCUUGCUGUUACAGAAGCUGUUUGUUUGUUGUCCUGCAUGUUGUCUUGCAAGCUGCAGUGUAUGUGGAAUACACAUGGGAAGUGUUUGUGUACUGCUGGGAGCUGCAGUUUCACCUCCUCAUCCUCCUUCUGCCCUACCUGCUGCUGGCUGGGAACGUGGGCAGCUUCAUCCUCUGCUCCCGGGCCAAUCCUGGUAUAAUAAGUAAAUCAAAUCAUGCAUCUUUGGUUAAGAUUUAUGCAUAUGAUGGUGUGUUAUUUCAGAAGGGCGUCGUGUGUCCUACGUGUGACUUGGAGAAGCCAGCCAGGUCAAAACAUUGCAGUGUCUGCAGUAUGUGCGUGCAUCGGUUUGAUCACCACUGUGUGUGGGUCAACAACUGCAUUGGUGCCUCCAACACCAAGUACUUCUUCCUUUACCUCUUCACACUGACUGCCAUGGCAGCAACCACUGCAGCCAUCUCAGCAGCAUUCCUCAUCCAAGUGGUGCUGCUCUCAGGCAUGAUGCAUGGGAGUUACAUUGAUGACCAAGGGCAGGAGCGUGCUGUUGACAUUCUCUUCCUCGUUCAGCACCUUUUCUUGACUUUCCCUAGGAUUGUCUUCAUGCUUGGCUUUGUUAUUCUCCUCACCCUGGUUCUGGGUGCGUACUGCUGUUUCAAUCUCUAUUUGGCCUUAACCAACCAAACUUCCAAUGAAUGGUAUAAAUCCAGAAGACAUGGGUGUUGCCACCAUCCAACACUGCAGCCUCAUGACAGACAAGCUGUCUACAAGAACAUUUAUUCUAAGGGAGUCUGGAGGAAUUUGAUGGAAAUCUUUAAGCCUCCUGCAGUGCUGGAGAGCAAGAAGAAAACAUGAAGAUACCAGUGUUUGUAUGUGCAUUUUUAAGCUGUUUGUAAGACUUUAUUCCAGCAAUGAGGUCUGAUGCCCCACACAGCUUUUGUAAAAAGGUGACUGUAUUUCAAUGAAGUGAUUGGAAACUGUUUGCAUAAA